AUGAACGCUGGCGGCGUGCCUAAUACAUGCAAGUCGAGCGAACAGACGAGGAGCUUGCUCCUCUGACGUUAGCGGCGGACGGGUGAGUAACACGUGGAUAACCUACCUAUAAGACUGGGAUAACUUCGGGAAACCGGAGCUAAUACCGGAUAAUAUAUUGAACCGCAUGGCUCAAUAGUGAAAGACGGUUUUGCUGUCACUUAUAGAUGGAUCCGCGCCGCAUUAGCUAGUUGGUAAGGUAACGGCUUACCAAGGCAACGAUGCGUAGCCGACCUGAGAGGGUGAUCGGCCACACUGGAACUGAGACACGGUCCAGACUCCUACGGGAGGCAGCAGUAGGGAAUCUUCCGCAAUGGGCGAAAGCCUGACGGAGCAACGCCGCGUGAGUGAUGAAGGUCUUCGGAUCGUAAAACUCUGUUAUUAGGGAAGAACAAAUGUGUAAGUAACUAUGCACGUCUUGACGGUACCUAAUCAGAAAGCCACGGCUAACUACGUG
rnacentral:rRNA from 1 species